UACGUAGGGCGCAAGCGUUGUCCGGAAUUAUUGGGCGUAAAGAGCGCGUAGGCGGCCUGGCAAGUGGAAGGUGAAAUCCCUCGGCUUAACCGAGGAACUGCCCUCCAAACUGCUUGGCUUGAGACCGGGAGAGGUGAGUGGAAUUCCCAGUGUAGCGGUGAAAUGCGUAGAUAUUGGGAGGAACACCAGUGGCGAAGGCGGCUCACUGGACCGGAACUGACGCUGAUGCGCGAAAGCGUGGGGAGCAAACGGG
rnacentral:rRNA from 1 species